AGACCCGAAACCCGGUGAUCUAGCCAUGGGCAGGUUGAAGGUUGGGUAACACUAACUGGAGGACCGAACCGACUAAUGUUGAAAAAUUAGCGGAUGACCUGUGGCUGGGGGUGAAAGGCCAAUCAAACCGGGAGAUAGCUGGUUCUCCCCGAAAGCUAUUUAGGUAGCGCCUCGUGAAUUCAUCUCCGGGGGUAGAGCACUGUUUCGGCUAGGGGGCCAUCCCGGCUUACCAACCCGAUGCAAACUGCGAAUACCGGAGAAUGUUAUCACGGGAGACACACGGCGGGUGCUAACGUCCGUCGUGAAGAGGGAAACAACCCAGACCGCCAGCUAAGGUCCCAAAGUCAUGGUUAAGUGGGAAACGAUGUGGGAAGGCCCAGACAGCCAGGAUGUUGGCUUAGAAGCAGCCAUCAUUUAAAGAAAGCGUAAUAGCUCACUGGUCGAGUCGGCCUGCGCGGAAGAUGUAACGGGGCUAAACCAUGCACCGAAGCUGCGGCAGCGAACGUAUCACCCAAGACAACUUUACGGAGUUGACGA
rnacentral:rRNA from 1 species